CAGCUGGUGGCUGCCAUCCUGGUAACCGUGAAGAUCGAUGUCCGACUCCUCGGUGAUCCAGGUGGACGUGCCAUGGGAAGGGACAGGAGCAAGGACAGGGAGGAGUUCAUCGAUAAGGCAGCGCCGCCUGAGAAAGCAAAGCCGCAGAGCAUGAUGUGGCCGCUUCAUGCACAGCCAGCGUGGCACCGCCGAGAGGAAAAGCCUCCGGACCCAUCGGGGCAUGGUGUGAGUCGCCGACGACCGGUGGUGGACGUUCAGCACGAACACGGUGAUGACGAUGGAGAGAGUGACGAAAAUCAUGGUGAAGAGCAGGUACUCCCCGAUCAGCGGGAUGACCAGCGACGUGGACGGGAUGAUCUCGGUGAUGAGCAGCAGGAAGACGGUCCACGGUGUUCUCGAAGGGCUCCAGGUCGAUCUUGGCCCGGUCGUAAGUCCAGGAGCCGAACUUCAUCUUGCAGCUCUGCUGGUCAAAGGGGAAGAAGGUGACGUCGAUGGAGCAGGACGACCUGUAGAUGGCCGGGGGCACCCAGAGGACACGGCCCGUGUGAAAGAGCUGGGCCUUGGUCAUGUGGGUGACGGCGAACUCUCCGUCGGCACUGGAAAAAGAAGCAAUAGGCAGAGGAGAGAAAAUUGACAAGAAAUUGAGGUAUUACCGAGAUAAAAAGUAUUCCUCAGCAUAUGAAAUGUGGUUUGUUUUUAUUCAGCAGGGCUCCAAAAGUUUCCACCUCAUUAUGUUUCAAACUCAAAAGGUGAAUCAAUAAACUCGGAGCUGUACCCGUUUACGGAGGCAGUGUUAAAUAAUUGAUCACUGAACGUCAGCGACUCAUGACGCAAGCCCAUUUGCAUAGAUGCUGAAGGAGGAGAAAGCUUCAUCUCCCUCCAGACAAAGACUGCAGAAUUGAUGCUUCCUAGAGACCCCGAGGGGGAAGAAACCAGACGCGAAACCAGACUCCAAAACUGUGUGAUGCAAGAUCGCCGUGCAGCCGCAACAGAAUGGUGGUCUUUUAUUCAACAGGAUCAUUUGCAUGUAUCACGAAUCGGUACGCAGGGAAAUGCAGAAAAGCCGCUUGGUGCCGUCAAGCUGUUUGGCCCAGUGCAAGAGGCCCUCCCACCUUAUCUGCUCUUCAGCCGCUGAGGAUGCUGUUAAAUGGAUCAAGCAGAAGUGCAUACAGGUGUAUGUGCUCCUACCACGUCGAUCAGCUGUGCAAUGGAGAGGCCAAACUUGACGAUGACCACGUCGCUGAUGUUUUGCGCCGGACGCGUCCACUUUCUGUAGCCUCCAAACAGGCUCCUGAAGAGCUCGUCCUCCAUGUGGACACGAGUCCAGUCUUCCGCCAGCACUGGCAAAGAGACACGGGGCGAGAAGAGGAAGAGGAAGAGGAACCAGAUUUCUGAAAGGAAUCAGAGCAGCGACCUCUGCUCCAGUGGCAGACUGUCCAGCAGGCCCUUCAGCUGCUCCUCGCCGAGCUUGAUCUUGUCCUCCAGCUUGCGCUGCUCGAUGAUGAGAGCCGACUUCAUCUUGACGAAGUGCCGGUAGUCGUCCAGGCUCGCCGCGUCCAGGGCGGUUACCUUCUCCUCUGGCGAAGCGUCUUCCUCCAGGGUGUUGAGGGCGUUUUCCACCCGGGCGAGCCGCCCCGAUAGCGACAGCAGCAGGCUCACCACUUUGUCCAGGUCGCCGACGAACAUGCGGAAUUUGUCGAGCUGGUUG